UACUCUAAAUUUCAUUGUUGCCCGUAUUGAUAUUGACAUGUAGAAUGGGACUCUAUCUUUAUUCUCGUCCGAUUAAUCAGUUCUUCAAAAGUCAAAAGAAAGGAUCGAUCAGACCAUGGAGGUGGAGUGAAUGAUUUGAGCCGGGAAUAUUCGAUUCUUUCUUCAACUUAGAAUCGAUUCAUAACAAUAACAAUUCUUUUCUUUUUCAUAAAAAGAAAUACGUAUUUGGUUGUGAUUUUUGAGUUAGUUUUUCGCUGCGUAUACAUAGUCUAUAUACCCUUAUCCUUCAUCCUUUAUCGAGUUUCGAUAUUCGAUAGAAGCAUUCAUUUGACUUUCUUUUUUCUUUACCAAAAAGGGCAGUCAACUCCAUUUGUUAGAACAGCUUCCAUUGAGUCUCUGCACCUAUCCCCCUUUUUCGCUUUCUGAACCCCUGUUUGUUCUUGGAAAAGAGAAGAGGAUUUGGCUCAGGAUUACCCAUUUUUAAUUCCUGGGUUUCUCUGAAUUUGAAAGUUAUCACUUAGUAAGUUUCCAUACUAAGGCUCAAUCCAAUUAAGUCCGUAGCGUCUACCAAUUUCGCCAUAUCCCUUUGUGUUUUAGGAACUCAAUGCUGUUCCCCCUUUCUUUCAUUUCUGCGGAAACAGUAGAAUUCCGUAGAUAUGGAUUUAUAUAUAUCGAAAGGUGUUUUGCUUUCUUGUCAGAAAUGAUUCUAUCUUUUCUGUAUCCGCAAUUCAAUAUAGAUGGAUAUAAACUACCAUAAAAUAUAUAUGCCCCCCUUACUCUCAUUUUUUUCGUGCAAUCCGGCGGAAUACUCGAACGGUCGAUUUAUUUUUUCGUUUUUUCUUACGCCUUUUCGAAUGAAAACAAAAAUGUCUCAUUCUAAUCCAGAUUCCAUUUAGCGGGAUUGUAUCUUUCUCUUUCAUUUCAUUUUCUAUUUAUACUUGCCCUUUCCUUAAGGAAGAACCUAUAUAACAUAACCAAAAAUAACUCAAAUUCCAAUUUCAAUUUAUUAAAUAAAAAUAAAUCAUUUUAUUAAUCAUUUAGAAUAUAAUAGCUAGACCUAAUCAAUAGAAUAGCUAUAACUACUCAGUCAAUUAAAUUAGAAUUCGAAGAUAAUUCUAAUUAUUUAGUCUAAAGCCUAAUUAUUUCGAAUUAGAAUAGAGCAAAUUUAGAAUUUCGAAAAUGGAUAAUAAGAAUCGAAUAUAAUAUUCGAUUUAGAAUAACUAAUAUAUAUAGAAUAUAGAAUAAUAAUCGAAUAUUAUGUAUAUUCUAUAAUAUAGAAUAAUCGAAUAGAAUAUAUUAAGAAUCUUAGGUUAGAAACAAAAAAAUAAUUUUAAAUGUCUUGAAUUCAAAAAUGAAAAAAAAAAAAAUAAUAAAUAAAUCAAAUCGUAUUUUAUUAUCUAAUUAAGAGUAAGAUAUUUAUUGUUGAUCAAUAUAGAAUUGAUAAAAAAUCCAAAUUCGCUAAUAUAUAUCAUCACUAGAUUCUCGUAAUUGUUAGAUUAAUCGUUAUGUUCUAUAUCUAUAGUAUUCAACAUUUAUUUGAAAUUCGAUUCUCUAUUUUAUUCUUUAUGAAUAGCUAAGAAUAAAAGGUUAAUAGAUAAGAUCCUAGGAUCCCUACGCAUGUACAAUUUCUCUUAUUUAAGCCCGCUUAGCUCAGAGGUUAGAGCAUCGCAUUUGUAAUGCGAUGGUCAUCGGUUCGAUUCCGAUAGCCGGCUUUUCUCUAUUUGUUUGAUUUUUACAUGAUUGAUAAUGUCUUUUUGAAAGAAAAGAACAUUGAAAAGGCUUCUUCCAAGGAUCAUCGAUCCAGUAUGUUGUAGGAGCUUCCAAUUAUGAAUAAAAGUUGGAGAAGUUCGAUUUCGGCAGAAUAAAUCAAGAAAAGGAACCCUCUUUUGAUUUAUAUUUCUAUAUGCGUAUACAAUACAAAAAGGGGUCUGGAAUUUGAUACAAAUCAUCUUAGUAUUCUUUGUAGUACAAUACUUCAGCGGAUUUUGCUUCAUUUAUCAUGUAGCUCAGUUUUAAUUUAGGUUUAUGAAAUUCAAUAAAAUAAGGAGUCUUUAUGUCACGUUACCGAGGGCCUCGUUUCAAAAAAAAUACGCCGUCUGGGGGCUUUGCCGGGACUAACGAGUAAAAGGCCUAGAGCCGGAAGCGAUUUUAGAAACCAAUUGCGCUCCGUAAAAAAAUCUCAAUAUCGAAUUCGUUUAGAAGAAAAACAAAAAUUGCGUUUUCAUUAUGGUCUUACAGAACGACAAUUACUUAAAUAUGUUCGUAUCGCCAGAAAAGCCAAAGGGUCAACCGGUCUGGUUUUACUACAAUUACUUGAAAUGCGUUUGGAUAACAUUCUUUUUCGAUUGGGUAUGGCUUCAACUAUUCCUCAAGCCCGCCAAUUGGUUAACCAUCGACAUAUUUUAGUUAAUGGUCGUAUAGUCGAUAUACCAAGUUAUCGUUGCAAACCCCGAGAUAUUAUUACAGUAAGGGAUGACCCAAAAUCUAGAUCUCUGGUUCAAAAUUAUCUUGAUUCAUCCCACCAUGAGGAAUUGCCAAAGCAUUUGACUCUUCGCGCAUUCCAAUAUAAAGGAUUAGUCAAUCAAAUAAUAGAUAGUCAAUGGGUCGGUUUGAAAAUAAAUGAAUUGCUUGUCGUAGAAUAUUAUUCUCGUCAAACUUAAACCUAACUAAAAUAACGGGCUCGUACAAAUUUACCCUUUCACCUAACUUAAGGAAAGGGAUACAAGGUAAGGAGUUUGAUCCGUGGAGUUUUUUUUUAUCCCAUUCAUGUAUCAUAGAUCCGAGGGUAGAUUUUUAUCCCCUGCCUGCCCCUUCCCUUUCUUUCCCGUAGGAAUUGAGAAUCUAGCUCAAAAAAAGGUCUGACUGCUUCGGUAUUCAUUCUUUUUUUGCUUGGAUACAUUCCGGUCAGUAACAUUGAUGAAUUAGUUCAAGGUACGGAAAGAGAGGGAUUCGAACCCCCGGUAAACAAAAGUCUACAUAGCAGUUCCAAUGCUACGCCUUGAACCACUCGGCCAUCUCUCCUACACAAUGAUUAUGACCGAGAACCCGCGUGAAUAGCGAGUUGUUCAAAUUCGAUUGGUAGAUGGGUACGGACAAUCGAAUCCGUUCUAACUAGAAAAAUAGAAACCCUUUCAGCAAAGAAAAAAUUCUUCCUUUGAGUCUGGGGAAAAGGAUAACUUUUUUGUUUGUGAAAAAACUGUUCAAAACAAAAAACAAUAAGGCUAUAUAUCUUGUUUGCAAAGAUGGCGCUCCUUUUUUUUUUUUUUUCUGAUAUUUCUACCUGAUUUAAUCAAUGAGUUGGAACGAAUCAACGGAUCGGUCUAUUUUUUUUUUUAUUUUUUUAACACGUCUGCUUUUAUGUUAUUUGUACUGUACAAUUCCUUUGUUUGUGGGAUCAUUUUCUCACAAGAGGUAAUGAAACGAAUUAUAGAAUGGAUUUUUACCUAUGCCUAGAUCGCGGAUAAACGGAAAUUUUAUUGAUAAGACCUUUUCGAUUGUAGCCAAUAUAUUAUUACGAAUAAUUCCGACAACUGUAGGAGAAAAAGAGGCAUUUACCUAUUACAGAGAUGGUGCGAUUUGAUUAGUUUUUUAUUUACCCUUUUCGGUCUUAGANUGAUGGUGUGCAAUAUCGGUCAGCCAUAGACCCCCAGUUACUGGAUCUAAUCCGCCACGAAAAGUAAGAAAUUCCGCAUAUUUUGACCAAUUCAAGGUAAAAAAUGGGGUUGCUCCUUCGGCAAAACUGGGAUAAAGUUGAGCCAAAAGAUCCCGAUUCAAGAUAAAUUCAUGAGGAAGUGGGAUCUCUUUAGGAUCUACUCCAGCGUUUAGAAAUUGGUUAAUCGGUAAAGAUACAUGUACUUGAUGCCCGCCCAAGAAAGGGACCCGAGCCCUAGCAGCCCCGUAAAUGGUGGUUCAACAUAGAUUCUACAUCCUGAAACAAGCCAAUUUUGGAGCAGCUUUGUGAUAAUGGAACCAACCAGCAAAAAGCAUUAAGGCUGCAAAAAUCAAUGCGCCAAUUGCGGUACAAUAGAGUUGUAAUUCACUAGUUAUUCCAGAUGCUCGCCAAAGCUGAAAAAACCGGAGGUUAUUGUAUUCCUCGGAAACCCCCGCCCACAUCACGUUCAAUAUUUCUUGGCCCACUAUUGGCCAAACCACCUGUGCGCUAGUCCAAUGUAGUAGGAUCGCUUAGCCAGGCUUCAUAAUUGGAAAAACGAGCACCGUGGAAAUACAUUCCGCUCAGCCAAAGAAAAAUGAUGGAGAGUUGUCCGAAAAUGGGCACUAAAUACUUUUCGAGAGAUCUCCUCCAAAUCACUGGUAUGGCUACGAAGUCGUGAGCAUCAGCAUGUAGGUUCCAGAUCCAAGUGGUAGUCUCAGGUCCUUAGCUAUGGUUCUUGAGAAAUGCCCGUUGGCCCAUUCUCGAAAGAAGUUUUUACGGGAUCCCUAUCUAACCAAAAUUUUUACUUCUGGUUCCGGCGAACGAAUAAUCAUUGAGUCCUCCUCUUUCCGGACAACACAUACAAAGAAACCCGCCAAACAGUCAGUCCAGUGAUUAGUGAACCUAUGAGAGAUGCUUAGAAUUAGUUUCUUUCUCUUCUACUUUCUAUCUCCCAUCUAUUUAUUUUCUUUAGUUAUUCACUAGAGCAAUUAUGUCUGGAAGUCGAUCCAGGGCAAGUGUUCGGAUCUAUUAUGACAUAUCCAGGAGGCGCUCAACGGACCUUUGAAUCUUUUUUAAUCUAUUAAAACCCUUUACGGGCUUAAAAUUUGUCAAAAACCCGUUUUUUUGUACAACCUUAGUGUAUUCAUAUCUCAAUUAGAGUCCCGAGAAUGCAGCUGCUACUUUAAUGGCGUAUAUAGAACAUAUUACUUUAUCAAGCAGUCAUUAGUAAUUACUAGGAUAAGAGACAUUCCUGCGAGGGGUCUCUUUAUUAAUUUGAAUAGAAUAGGAGAAAAAACAUUUUCUACCGUAUCCCUGUAUCGUUUAUCCUUAUGAAAUACCAGACGAAAUAGAACGAUCUUAGAAAGGAUAUAAUGAAAUUCCUGAUUGUUCUUCCAGAUAAAUGAUCCCUUUUAUAUUCCACUGAUAGGCUAACAGACAAUUAAUUUUUAAUUAUACCAAACGAAAAUAGAUAUCGAAAUUCUAAAGAAAUAAAAUUCUAAAUAAAUAAACAGAGAGUUUCUUAUUCGAAACGUCCCGUGAUCUUCAACCAAUUCUGCGCUUGAAUAUAAUUACCAGGAGUAAGCGCAAUAGCUUGUUUCCAAUACUCGGCAGCUUGAUUGAACCAGCCUCCGCAAUUUCAGAAUCUCCCUGUCGAACGGCCUGUUCCCCGGUCGGAAUAGGUGGUUCAAUUCCUUUCCUUAGAACCGUACUUGAGAGUUUCCCGCCUCAUACGGCUCGGCAAUCAAUUCUUUUGGUGUCCCGGGUUUUUGAAUCUAGUAUAUCGAAUUGAAUGAGAUUUCUCAUAGAUCGAUCUUUAUCUUUAUUCUUUUUUUUGGGGGGUUAACCAAAAGAGGUUAAUUCCAUGAGCAUGAGUUUUCAACUUGACUUUUGAUUAAAUUAAUAAUCAGCUUUGCUUUCAUUUUAUCUUUUCUCCCACCGUCAGAAGAAUAACAUAGAAGCAUUUCCACUAUAGUUAGAAUUUUCUGAAAAGGUAUCUAUCUCGGUUCAUAUAAAAAUUGAUAUAGAAUCUUUGAAAAAGCCCUUCUUCUAAGAAAGAAAAGGCUUACUGUCUUUGGGAUCUGAUGCUACACCGCUGCUCAAUACCUUAGGGGAUCGACUUUAUUACAUAAGUGGAUUCCUUACUUUUAUCUCAUAUCAUGACAUAAAUAAGCAGUUCUUAUUGGAUCGGCAUCGGCCCAAAACCUCGCGAAUUGAUCUUUACGGUGCUUCCUCUAUCAAUUAGAUCCUUUAUCCAUAGAAUAAACUAUCUAGGCAUAUCGAUUUCUUCAUAUUCGACUUCUAUGAAGUUUCUUUCUUUGCUACAGCUGAUAAAAUCGUUUUUGCACGAUGCAUAUGUAGAAAGCCUAUUUUUUUUUUUUCGAGUAUUUAUUAGUGUAUUUGCUCUUUACCCCCCCCUUUUUUUUUUUUCUUUUCUUUUUUUUCUUUCUAUAGUAGAGAUAGUCGCACGUAAUGACAGAUCACAGCCAUAUUAUUAAAAGCUUGUGGUAAGAACGGAUUUCGUUCUAGUGCCCGAAAAUAUAUUCUAAAGCUUUUGUAUGUUCUCCGUUACUUGUGUGGAUAAGGCCUAUGUUAUAGAGUAUAUAGCUUCGAUCGUAAGGAUCAAUUUCUAGUCGCAUAGCUUCAUAAUAAUUCUGUAAAGCUUCCGCAUAAUUGCCUUCAGAUUGAGCUGACAUCCGUUACGGUCGUCAUUCGAUUCAAAGAAUUCUCCGUUUCAAAAACCGUACAUGAGAUGAAAAUCUCAUACGGCUCCUCCUUUAUGUGCAUUAUGAGAAUAAUCCAUGAAAUCAAAAAAAGAUUGAAAUAUUCUCAUUAUGAACUAAGUGGGGCUAAUGUUUUUACAAAGAAAUCUCUAGCCAACCUUCCUGCAAAAGCUUUUUUCUUAAUAUCACGCGUGUUGGUACUAGAUAAAACCGGAAACUCCAACAAUUUUUGUUCUCAACGCCCCUUAAUUUACAGGAAUUAAUCACUUCAACAGUCUUCGAUGGUUAUACGGGUAUCCACAGUACGAACGAGAUGGAUGUUUGUUAUCCCAACCAUUCUUCUUAGUCCCGAUCCCGCUAAGGAAAGGGGGCAGCUUAUAACAAAGUUUUCGUGUUGCUGAUUCCUAGACGUAGCGCCUCUUCCCCUAUGCCGCCUAUUGGUACUGGUGUAGUAGGUUGACUUGCAAUACAGAACCCAUAGGUGUAACCUUUCGCUCAAUACUAGAAUCGACAAUUGAAGCAUCUGAGGCUGCAUUAAUCGGGGAUACACGACAGAAGGAAUGGUUUUAUCUAUAAACUUCACCUUCAACAAGCGUAGAUUUUUUCAAUAAUCUUUUUUUUUUUUUUUCUAUCCCGAAUUGUCUUUCUUUCUUCUAAGACCGAAAGGGGUAAAUAAAAAACUAAUCAAAUCGCACCAUCUCUGUAAUAGGUAAAUGCCUCUUUUUCUCCUACAGUUGUCGGAAUUAUUCGUAAUAAUAUAUUGGCUACAAUCGAAAAGGUCUUAUCAAUAAAAUUUCCGUUUAUCCGCGAUCUAGGCAUAGGUAAAAAUCCAUUCUAUAAUUCGUUUCAUUACCUCUUGUGAGAAAAUGAUCCACAAACAAAGGAAUUGUACAGUACAAAAUAACAUAAAAGCAGACGUGUUAAAAAAAAAUAAAAAAAAAAUAGACCGAUCCGUUGAUUCGUUCCAACUCAUUGAUUAAAUCAGGUAGAAAUAUCAGAAAAAAAAAAAAAAAAAGGAGCGCCAUCUUUGCAAACAAGAUAUAUAGCCUUAUUGUUUUUUUUGUUUUGAACAGUUUUUCACAAACAAAAAAGUUAUCCUUUUCCCCAGACUCAAAGGAAGAAUUUUUUCUUUGCUGAAAGGGUUUCUAUUUUUCUAGUUAGAACGGAUUCGAUUGUCCGUACCCAUCUACCAAUCGAAUUUGAACAAUCGCUUCACGCGGGUUCUCGGUCAUAAUCAUGUGUAGGAGAGAUGGCCGAGUGGUUCAAGGCGUAGCAUUGGAACUGCUAUGUAGACUUUUGUUUACCGGGGGUUCGAAUCCCUCUCUUUCCGUACCUUGAACUAAUUCAUCAAUGUUACUGACCGGAAUGUAUCCAAGCAAAAAAGAAUGAAUACCGAAGCAGUCAGACCUUUUUUUGAGCUAGAUUCUCAAUUCCUACGGGAAAGAAAGGGAAGGGGCAGGCAGGGGAUAAAAAUCUACCCUCGGAUCUAUGAUACAUGAAUGGGAUAAAAAAAAACUCCACGGAUCAAACUCCUUACCUUGUAUCCUUUCCUUAAGUUAGGUGAAAGGGUAAAUUUGUACGAGCCCGUUAUUUUAGUUAGUUUAAGUUUGACGAGAAUAAUAUUCUACGACAAGCAAUUCAUUUAUUUUCAAACCGACCCAUUGACUAUCUAUUAUUUGAUUGACUAAUCCCUUAUAUUGGAAUGCGCGAAGAGUCAAAUGCUUUGGCAAUUCCUCAUGGUGGAUGAAUCAAGAUAAUUUUGAACCAGAGAUCUAGAUUUUGGGUCAUCCUUACUGUAAUAAUAUCUCGGGGUUUGCAACGAUAACUUGGUAUAUCGACUAUACGACCAUUAACUAAAAUAUGUCGAUGGUUAACCAAUUGGCGGGCUUGAGGAAUAGUUGAAGCCAUACCCAAUCGAAAAGAAUGUUAUCCAAACGCAUGUUUCAAGUAAUUGUAGUAAAACCAGACCGGUUGACCCUUUGGCUUUUCUGGCGAUACGAACAUAUUUAAGUAAUUGUCGUUCUGUAAGACCAUAAUGAAAACGCAAUUUUUGUUUUUCUUCUAAACGAAUUCGAUAUUGAGAUUUUUUUUACGGAGCGCAAUUGGUUUCUAAAAUCGCUUCCGGCUCUAGGCCUUUACUCGUUAGUCCGGCAAAGCCCCCAGACGGCGUAUUUUUUUGAAACGAGGCCCUCGGUAACGUGACAUAAAGACUCCUUAUUUUAUUGAAUUUCAUAAACCUAAAUUAAAACUGAGCUACAUGAAUAAAUGAAGCAAAAUCCGCUGAAGUAUUGUACUACAAAAGAAUACUAAGAUGAUUUGUAUCAAAUUCCAGACCCCUUUUUGUAUUGUAUACGCAUAUAGAAAUAUAAAUCAAAAGAGGGUUCCUUUUCUUGAUUUAUUCUGCCGAAAUCGAACUUCCUCCAACUUUUAUUCAUAAUUGGAAGCUCCUACAACAUACUGGAUCGAUGAUCCUUGGAAGAAGCCUUUUCAAUGUUCUUUUCUUUCAAAAAGACAUUAUCAAUCAUGUAAAAAAUCAAACAAAUAGAGAAAAGCCGGCUAUCGGAAUCGAACCGAUGACCAUCGCAUUACAAAUGCGAUGCUCUAACCUCUGAGCUAAGCGGGCUUAAAUAAGAGAAAUUGUACAUGCGUAGGGAUCCUAGGAUCUUAUCUAUUAACCUUUUAUUCUUAGCUAUUCAUAAAGAAUAAAAUAGAGAAUCGAAUUUCAAAUAAAUGUUGAAUACUAUAGAUAUAGAACAUAACGAUUAAUCUAACAAUUACGAGAAUCUAGUGAUGAUAUAUAUUUAGCGAAUUUGGAUUUUUUAUCAAUUCUAUAUUGAUCAACAAUAAAUAUCUUACUCUUAAUUAGAUAAUAAAAUACGAUUUGAUUUAUUUAUUAUUUUUUUUUUUUUCAUUUUUGAAUUCAAGACAUUUAAAAUUAUUUUUUUGUUUCUAACCUAAGAUUCUUAAUAUAUUCUAUUCGAUUAUUCUAUAUUAUAGAAUAUACAUAAUAUUCGAUUAUUAUUCUAUAUUCUAUAUAUAUUUAGUUAUUCUAAAUCGAAUAUUAUAUUCGAUUCUUAUUAUCCAUUUUCGAAAUUCUAAUUUGCUCUAUUCUAAUUCGAAAUAAUUAGGCUUUAGACUAAAUAAUUAGAAUUAUCUUCGAAUUCUAAUUUAAUUGACUGAGUAGUUAUAGCUAUUCUAUUGAUUUAGGUCUAGCUAUUAUAUUCUAAAUGAUUAAUAAAAAUGAUUUAUUUUUAUUUAAUAAUUGAAUUGGAAUUUGAGUUAUUUUUGGUUAUGUUAUAUGGUUCUUCCUUAAGGAAAGGGCAAGUAUAAAUAGAAAAUUGAAAAUGAAAGAGAAAGAUACAAUCCCGCUAAAUGGAAUCUGGAUUAGAAUGAGACAUUUUUGUUUUCAUUCGAAAAGGGGCGUAAGAAAAAACGAAAAAAUAAAUCGACCGUUCGAGUAUUCCGCCGGAUUGCACGAAAAAAAUGAGAGUAAGGGGGGCAUAUAUAUUUUAUGGUAGUUUAUAUCCAUCUAUAUUGAAUUGCGGAUACAGAAAAGAUAGAAUCAUUUCUGACAAGAAAGCAAAACACCUUUCGAUAUAUAUAAAUCCAUAUCUACGGAAUUCUA
rnacentral:lncRNA from 1 species